GACGAACGCUGGCGGCGUGCUUAACACAUGCAAGUCGAACGGAAAGGCCCUGCUUUUGCGGGGUUCUCGUGUGGCGAACGGGUGAGUAACACGUGAGUAACCUGCCCUUGACUUUGGGAUAACUUUAGGAAACUGGGGCUCUUACCGCAUAGGAGCUCCUGCUGCAUGGUGGGGGUUGGAAAGUUUCGGCGGUUGGGGCUGGACUCGCGGCUUAUCAGCUUGUUGGUGGGGUAGUGGCUUACCAAGGGUUUGACGGCUAGCCGGCCUGAGAGGGUGGACGGCCACAUUGGGACUGCGAUACGGACCAGACUGCUACGGUCGGCAGCAGUGGGGAGCAUUACACAGUGGGCGGGAGUCUGAUGCGGCGGCGCCGCGUGCGGGAUGACGGCCUUCGAGUUGUAAACAGCUUUCGCCUGUGACGAAGAGUGAGUGACGGUACUGGGUAAGAAAGCACCGGCUAACUACGUG
rnacentral:rRNA from 1 species